rnacentral:ncRNA from 1 species
GUAAUGACGAUGAAGAGGAGAAGUAGAUAAGACAUUUUCUCUAAAGAGAGGAAAUAUUUAAGCUGAGAGUAUUUCUAGGGAGAAGCUUAUCGAAGUUCACCUCUGAGUUAUAGAUGGGAAAGGCAAAAUAGCUUAGUACUUUCUAUCGGAGAUAAAUCCGUUAUCUAAAUUGAGUGAUCUAUCAUUGAAAUGGUAGAUUAUUAGGGUGGUACCGCGAAUUGCUUCGUCCCUUUG